rnacentral:rRNA from 1 species
GACGAACGCUGGCGGCGUGCUUAACACAUGCAAGUCGAACGGAAAGGCCCUGCUUUUGUGGGGUGCUCGAGUGGCGAACGGGUGAGUAACACGUGAGUAACCUGCCCUUGACUUUGGGAUAACUUCAGGAAACUGGGGCUAAUACCGGAUAGGAGCUCCUGCUGCAUGGUGGGGGUUGGAAAGUUUCGGCGGUUGGGGAUGGACUCGCGGCUUAUCAGCUUGUUGGUGGGGUAGUGGCUUACCAAGGCUUUGACGGGUAGCCGGCCUGAGAGGGUGACCGGCGACAUUGGGACUGAGAUGCGGACCAGACUCCUACGGGAGGCAGCAGUGGGGAAUAGGGCACAAUGGGCGGAAGCCUGAUGCAGCAACGCCGCGGUCGGGAUGACGGCCUGCGGGUUGUAAACCGCGUUCGCCUGUGACGAAGCGUGAGGGACGGUAAUGGGUAAAGAAGCACCGGCUAACUACGUG